rnacentral:misc_RNA from 1 species
GAUGAAGAACGUAGUGAAAUGCGAUACUUGGUGUGAAUUGCAGAAUCCCGUGAACCAUCGAGUCUUUGAACGCAAGUUGCGCCCGAAGCCAUUAGGCCGAGGGCACGCCUGCCUGGGCGUCACACGUCGUUGCCCCCCCAUCUACUCCUUCGGGAUUGCGGGGGGCGGAUGAUGGCCUCCCGUGCGCCUUGUCGCGCGGUUGGCAUAAAUGCCAAGUCCUCGGCGACGCACGCCACGACAAUCGGUGGUUGCGAAACCUCGGUUGCUCGUCGUGUGCGGUCGUCGCGCAUCGAGGGCUCGAAAAAAUUGUCGGGCUCCGGCUCGGCUUUCAACGCGACCCCAGGUCAGGCGGGGUUACCCGCUGAAUUUAAGCAUAUCAAUAAGCGGAGGA